UCUGGGUGGACACUGUGGGGGGGCUCACAUCGGGGCAGCUGCUCCGGCCUGCCGGAGGCCCCCCCCAGCCCACUCGGCCCGUGAGGACACAUCCCUGGACGCCACGUGUUACCGUUUCUGCAGGACAGAGACAAACUCGUGCUCGGAUCCGCAGCAGGUUUUUCUCCUGCGCCGACAGCUUCCGGGUGUCGGGGUAGAGCGACAGCACCUCACUCUCCGUCCCCGCGGACCGGCUCCGGGUCUGUCCCAGCUGCUUCUCCAGCUCGCGGACCUAAGGAACCUGCAUCCACUGCAGGUGGGAAUGUUGUCAGCCUCUGUGGAAAACAGGCUGAGGAUACUCAGUGAGCUCAGAACCGAGCUUCCAUAGGACCCAGCAAUUCCACUCUGUGCAUCUAUCCUCAGGACAGAAGAAUGUUCAUUCAAAAGGACGUAUGCGGGACUGGAGCACAGUGGGUAGGGCGUUUACCUUCCACGCGGCCGACCUGGCUUUGAUUCCCAGCAUUCCGUAUGGUCCCCCAAGAGCCAGGAGUAACCCCUGUGCAUGGUCGGGUGUGACCCCCCACCCCAAAAAGAAGAAGAACGUAUGCACACCACUCUUCAUUGCAGAAUUCAGUACAAUAGCUAAGAGUUGGAAUCAACCCAGAUGUCCAACAAUAGAUCAGUGGUUUGUGAAGAUGUGGUAUAUACACACAAUGGAAUACUACACAGCUGUAAGGAGUGAUAAAACCAUGCAAUUCACAGAAACAUGGAUGGAACUAGGAGGCAUCAUGUUAAAUGAAGUAAGUCAGAAGCAGGAUAAACAGGAUGCUAUCACUCAAAGGUGGUAUUGCGAAAAACUGGAGGAGGAAAUGCAAAGGUUUAAGUGUGUGUGUGUGUGUG